UGCCAGACUCCUACGGGAGGCAGCAGUGGGGAAUAUUGCACAAUGGGGGAAACCCUGAUGCAGCGACGCCGCGUGAGCGAUGAAGUAUUUCGGUAUGUAAAGCUCUAUCAGCAGGGAAGGAGAUGACGGUACCUGACUAAGAAGCCCCGGCUAACUACGUGCCAGCAGCCGCGGUAAUACGUAGGGGGCAAGCGUUAUCCGGAUUUACUGGGUGUAAAGGGAGCGUAGACGGCGAUGCAAGCCAGAUGUGAAAGCCCGGGGCUCAACCCCGGGACUGCAUUUGGAACUGUGUGGCUGGAGUGUCGGAGAGGCAGGCGGAAUUCCUAGUGUAGCGGUGAAAUGCGUAGAUAUUAGGAGGAACACCAGUGGCGAAGGCGGCCUGCUGGACGAUGACUGACGUUGAGGCUCGAAAGCGUGGGGAGCAAACAGGAUUAGAUACCCUGGUA
rnacentral:rRNA from 1 species